CUCCUCAGCUGCUCCGACUCUCCGUAGUACUGCUCCUCCAGCUACCGGCCCUUCCCCUUCUAUUUUGAAUUUUCUAGAACAAUGGGUAAGCAGCUACCAACUAUGAAUGGAAUAAGUCUAAAAAGAAGCUUGGGUAUGCUGAUAUGUGCCUUCAGGUUAUAAGAUAAGGGAGCAAGUGAAACAACCCAGAAGCUUAUGAUAUUGUUACUGUGGAGAUACCCGGAAGCUUGCAUAUCCAGAAUCGAUCUUCACUUCAGCUACAAGUGAGAGGUAUUGCUGCCGAGCGUGACACCGCGCCGAUCUAUUUGAGCCCAACUGCAUCAAUUUUAGACGGAAGAUAAUGAUGCAAGGAGACCACCUGAGCACCUCCACUCCCUCAACACUGUCCCCCUACUGCCUGAGUUUACUGAAUAUUUUUUCUUGCUUCAACUAUAUCAAGGGAGCAAGUGCAACAACCCAGAAGCUUAUGAUAUUGCUACUGUGGAGAUACCCGGAAGCUUGCAUUGAUCCAGAAUCGAUCUUCACUUCAGCUACAAGUGAGAUGCAUUUCACUACGUGGCUAUGUGCACAUAAAUCAGUCAAGGAGCAGGCUUCAGUGAAGUGUGAUCCAGUACAUUUGUGAACAUUGUGCAGUUCUUGCUGAAUUCUGGACUUGACUGAACGGGUUCCCCCUAUUCCAAAUUUCUUUUUAAGUAUUUGGCAGUUAUCUUCAGCGUCCAAAUGGAAGUACU